ACAACUCCGCUGGUGCAACUCCAUUGUAUUGGAUUUACUCGCUACAUUGGAGAGGAGUAAGCCAUGAAGAUGGAUGCCAAAGAUGAAAAUAUGAAACUGAAGGAGAUGCGUGAGAAAAUGGAGGAGCUGGAGCACAGUCUAAACCAGCAGAGGGACCGCAAUGCUAAACUAAACG